GACAGAGGGUGCAAACGUUGUUCGGAAUUACUGGGCGUAAAGCGUGUGUAGGCGGCCAAGCAAGUCGGAUGUGAAAGCCCCGGGCUCAACCCGGGAAGUGCACUCGAUACUGCUAGGCUGGAGUGUGGGAGAGGUUGGUGGAAUUCUCGGUGUAGAGGUGAAAUUCGUAGAUAUCGAGAGGAACACCGGCGGCGAAGGCGGCCAACUGGACCAACACUGACGCUGAGACACGAAAGCGUGGGGGAGCAAACAGG
rnacentral:rRNA from 1 species